GCAGCCAUCCUUUGAAAUUCACACUUCAAUGAAUUUUGCAGAACAGUUCCCCAGACAAGUAAUGUGAACAAAAAUGCACAUACUAGGGGAAAGUGCAUCUGUUAAUGAAAAUAACAUAGAAUGUAUUAUAGCAGGAGAUUGAAAGAAAGCACUGUCAACAUACUUGCUCAUCCCUAGGGGAGAGUGCACAAAUCCAUCAUUUCACUCAGGCUCAUGACGUUUCUUCCACAUAGUGCUAUAGCCAUGUUUAUGUGUUACUUGUGAACUGGAUAGGGGGGUAUAACACUCAAACCACAGGUCCGAGUUAUGUGGAUACAUGAAAAAAAAGUCUUGGCAUUUGGAAAACAGUGUGAAAAGGAAUUGAAUGAGAAUUUUCUUUAGGCAAGGGCUUUCCCAUCAGAUGCCAUCUAGCUGUACCCUAUUCCCCUCUAGAAAUUAGAAUCAGAAUCUUUCUGUUUGUUUUUAGUUAUGUGUGGAAGGACACAUAGAAGAAAUACUGUGUUGAAUUUUCAUUCCGCCCCCUCAUUACAGUGCAGAGGUGGUGCAGAUGUUUCUUUUAUGAAAACCCUAUUAUGGGGAACCUUUGGCCCUCCAGAUGGUGUUGAACUUCAACACCCUUCAGCCUUGACUAUUGGCCAUGUUGGCUGCGGUUGAUGGGAGAGAGAGAGCUCAGAAACAUCUGGAGAGUCAAAUGUUCCCCACCCCUGCCCUAUAUCUUAUCAGGGAUGUGAUGAGUUGUAAUCCUGUUGACUCAAGUGAGAUUGCUCGCUCUUCGGGGUGAAUCAUGUGUGCUUUUCUGAAGAAAAGAGGCCUUAUCUUGAUUGUUAUUCAGGUGUGUUGCAAGAUGGUGGAUAAAUUUAAGUGAGAACUUAAACCUCACUUUAAGUCCAUUGACUUAACUGCAAUGGACAUUGGUUGUGUUGACUUUAUUCCCUUAUCAAAAUCCCUCCCACAAUGGAUGGGCACAAAAUAUAUCCACAAAUAGAGCCUGUGCCACUGACGCUGUCAAGAGGGAGAAUAAUCCACUGAGGAAUUUUCCUGUUGCACUCCUCGGAGAUGCAGGAGACAUUUCAGCGGGGCUGAACUCUUCAGCGGAUUGUGGCCUGAGUCUUUUUGUGUUUAUUUAUUUAUGUUUGGGUCACUUCUUUGCACCUUAAGACAAGAGAGCAAAAUUAAUGGAACAUUUUAAUGGAAUGUCAUUUUAAAAAAUGACAUUCAGAUUUAUUUAUUUUUGCAAGCCAUCUCCUUUCUUUUCUCCUUGGAACUUCUUCAGCCCUUAUUCAGUGCAACUCACUAGCUAUUCCUCAUGGAGGGAGAGUUGCUUGGCCUUUGACCAAGUCGGCACCACUUCUGAUGAUGCAGCAGCCAUGCAUGGCAACCCAAGAGAUGCCAAGCAAUUCUGCUUGCCCUGGACUGCAGGAAAAGUCAAGCACACGGCAGGCUGCUGUGUUAGCUCUGUGCUAGAGCAUCUGCUUGGCAUGCAGAAGGUCUCUAGUCCAUAGCAUCUUCAGGAAGGGCUGGGACCCUUGUGUGAAACCCUGGAGAGCCACUGCUGGUCAUUGUGGACGGUCGUGGGCUGGAUGAACUAGUGAUAUGACUCAGCCUAUGGCAGUUUCCUAUGCUCCUAGGCUAUAAGAAUAAAUAAGUUUGUAAAUAUUCCUUAUGCUGCUAUUUUUGAAACUCACCUUUGACUGCUGCCUGUUCAUAUCAGGACCAAUGUUCUUAGGAAGGGAGGGCUUUUGGCUUAAUGUAAGUUUUUAAGCAGAAAAAAACUACACAUGGUAGAAAUAAUUUGCAGUUAUGAGAGGGAUAUAAAGCAACUUGUAAAAGCAAAAUAUAUUAUAGUAGUUUGAGCAUGGCUGCAUCUUUGGAGCUGUUUUGAAAAACAGCCAUUCUCACAGCUGUUGCUUUGGGUAGGAAGACUGAAUGCAGAAUCGCAGCACUGCACCAGUCAGUUAAUGCCCAGCAAAUAACAAUCAUGCUUCAUGCCGCUGUUUUAAAUUCUGUGUUUCUAAAGGGUAUCCUUGCAGCAGCGUUGCCGCCUUUCUUUGUUUUAUGCCUGUGCCUUUAACGCCAAUAAGAAAUUAAGCAAGUGGUACAGUUCCUGGCAUGGCAGCAGUCUGUUUCUGAGGGGUGGGGGGCAGUUGAACAAGAUAUUCUCAGUGAGCCCCCUUCUCCACCGCCGUUGCACUGUCCAUUCAGUUGCAGCUCCCUCUGGACCCAGUGUAUACCAUAUUGGAAGGGGCAUGCAGGAGUUCCUGUUCAUUCCCUUUGCUCUAGUCAGUGCCAGCAACAAGCAGCAACAGCAAGAAUUCAGAGGCUGAGCCUUCCACUGGGACACGGGCACUAGUAAAUGCCCAGUGAUAUCCUAUCCUGAUGCAAUGAUAGGAACAGCUUGACUGCUUAAUUUCUCUGAACCUGGCCACCUCUGAAGGCUCAGGAGCAACAUUAGGAAGGGGGCGGAAAGGUUGCACUAUUUGAGAGCUGUGUGCUGCUGCUCGUGUACUCGCAUUAACAGUAUCUCUCCAACGCUUACAGUAGCUUUCCAAAUGUCAGUGGAUUUAUGUGUGCAUGAUAAUACGUGGAACAAGCCUAGAAACAAAUAUUCUUUUGAGAUACUUGGCUUUUGGUCCAGCACAUGCUUUAAGCUUGUGUGCUAACUGUAUUCAGAGGGGGUGGCAGUGCUUUUCCUCCCCUCCCCUUUUUCUUCCAGAAAGAGUCCUCGGACCACUUAGGUUGCUCGAGUUACUUAAUCUGGAUUGGGUCUCUUGAUCUCCCAGCGAUCUUUUUUUAGUAAGUGAGCUGGUAGGGCUGAUUUCAUACUCAAACAUGCUCUGAGCCCAUGCUUAUAUUUUUAAGCCUACAUGCAAACAUUUUCAGGAUCGGGUUCCCAGCAUGUAAAUUGCAACCAGCAGUUUUCCAAGAGAAUAUAUGGGAAACAACUAAAAGUAACAGCUAGCUACAGUCUGUAUAUGUUCAAGUGCAGGGCAGCAGGCAGGGAACUGCUGCAGAUCUGUGCUUUACUUUUCAGACAAGGAGACCAAAACUGGCCGACAACAUUAAUACUUAGCAAUCCCAUAUAUUGUAUCAGUGACAUGACCUAUUAUUUGUAUACAGAGCAUUAGUAAAAUAGUUUCUUUUAAGCACUGCUAAGAACCCUGUAACACUGACGAGGAGCACUUUUAAAAACAAAUUCUGUGUGUGUUUGUGUGUAUGUAUAACGCUGCAGUCUGUAUGUACAGUAGUCAAAUGCUUACAAGAGGUUGCUGCCUAGCACUGUGAUAGAUAAAUGAGCUAGAACUCAGUGGUGUUACCUACAGAGCAGCAAGCAGCACUUUUCUGUAUAUUGACAGCUUUUCAAGGAGCUACACUUAAACCUGGUUUUGUUGACUGUAACUUCUGUGGACCCAGGUACGAGCCAGUUAUUCAUGUGAACCAAAUGUGUACAGUACUCUCAUAAAGCAAAGCUAUAAAGCUAUAUAUUGCCAAGGUAGAGUCUAAUAGAUAUAUAUAUAAUAGAUCUAUAUAUUUUUCCCCUGGAAGGAAACAUGAGUGUUUUUAAAUGCAAUAUAUUUUUAGAGAAACUGUCUGCUGUAUCUGUCUUAAACUUAACACAAACCAGCGCACGCCAAUCAUCCUUUCCUCAUAGCAUUAGAAUGUCUUCCUCCAAAGAAGAAUGUUGAGCAGUGGUUUGAAUCUGUGAAACCCUUUAGCUUCCUUGGAAGCUUAUAAGGGGUUCCUCCAUGAAGAGGAAGCAAUAGCGGGCAAGCUUCCCAGAUAAAGACAGCUUGUUCACCAUGACUAAUCUUCACUCACACAGCAUAGAGCCUCUGAGGAAUGCUGGGUAUGUUGCUCAGCCCAUGAGGGGCAGCAGUGAGGGCCAAAAUAUCUGGCUAGGAGAGAGCUGUCAGGGCAGGAUUUUGAGGUCUUAAACCGCAGGUGCAAUUGGCUCACCACGGUGUGAAGUAAUGCACUUUGCUUCUAAAGUGGACUUCCAUUAAGUCCAGAGUCUGAAAUUACCUAACUGCACCACUGCUGGUGACGACUGAAUGUGUGGAUGCCCUAGAGAAUGUUCCAGAAUCCUUUUGUAGCCAGGUGGGGGCUCCGUAAUAGACGAUCGCAAGAUGUGCCAUAUUGAAGGUGGAAUGUUUGAAAUCCAUGGGUUUAGCAGGUUGCCGAAAUGUGUGCGUUUCUUCAUUGUAGAUGCUUUGUAGUUUAGCUUUUGUGUUCAUAAGCUUACUGCCAGCGUAAUGAUGUAGCUUUAUGAAAUGUGCCAUGUUUUAUUGAAAUGUGCAAUAUUUCGCCUGGUUCCUUUCAUCCAUAUAGAAAACCUUUAGUAACGCUCUCAACAAAUACAGCACUCAGGUAAAGAUUUUAGCUGCUCCUUUUUAAACUAAAUGUGUUGUCAACCCAUGAGCAUUGCUUUUAAAAGAGUGAUUAAAAUGUAGAGUCCCCCUCUCUACCUCCCUAUAUAAAUUAUGCUGUUUAACGUGAGCUUCUCUUAGCUAUGUAAAAGUGAUUUGAGAGCUCCUGCUCUUGCACCCCUAUGCUGUUUAUUGAAAGGGGAGCUACCCAGUUGCUUUUGCUCAUAAACUACCACAUGAACAAAUGUUUGUUCAUGCAUAACAUUGUUCUUUUAUCAGCCAGCUGAAGCAUGGGUUGAUGAGGCUCGCAGGCAAAAAUCUGCAAAAUCUAUAUUCUCAAAAAAGAAGUCAACCCGCAGUGAAUUCAGAUUGUUUAGGUGCCUUCUAAGGAUAAUCACUACAACGUCAGAUGUGGUCCUUAAAUGCUUUUCUUAAUUCUUAAAGAAUAUGUUUUAUGGCUUCAGGAUGAGUUUAUAUCAUAAACACAGAAACUGGACUAGCGUUUCCCCCCAUCCUGCUGUCAGAACAAUGUCCUUUGGACAUUUGAGCCAGUGUUUUCAAAAGCCCAAUGGGCUUUUAAACUUUUGCUUUUAUUGUAGUGAAAGAUGUAGCGGUGAGAAAUGUCUUUUUGUGCAUCACUAUAAACCACAUUCAUAUAUUGAGCAUAAAAAAUAAUAAUAUAGAUCAUAGCGUAAUAUAUAUUUGCACAACUCUUAUGCAGAUGUAUUUUUACACACACACACAUAUGUAAUCAAAUCUUAGGGUUUUUUUAUGGGGUUGAUUCUGUGCAGAGUUUAUUUUAUAAAUGUGUUGUAAUCUUACGCUGCAUUGGCACUCCCGGGUGGGUAUUAUUUCUCUUGCACAUUUUUUAGCAUUCACACAAAGAGGAGGUUCUUCUCUGAAGGAAUUUGCUUUUACAUUUUUAAGUGAUAUGCACGACUCUUAUGCAAAACUUGAAAAAACUUCUGUUGUAAGUGUAUCUUGUGUGCACCCUGUGUGUCGUGGGAAAGGCUGAAUCACAAGUCCGUUUGUCACAUAGCCCAUUGCAAGUGUGGUAGCUGUGAUCUUGUCCUUUGUAGCCCUUUUGGGGGGGUGGGAAUAUUUCUUUAAUGAUUAGCUUAACUUUCUGUAAAGAUUUCAUUACACAAAACCAUAAAACAUUAGCAUUGUCUUGUCAUUGACUAAAAGUUAGCAUGCAAAAAGAGUAAAUGUAUUUAGAAAUAUGGUAUGUACACUAGCAGUUCCAAAGAGCAUAGGUAAACUUUUCUCCAUUUAAACGUAAUUUGUGCAACUUUAGAAUGCUUGGCCUUUGUUCUAGUUAAACAUAGUUCCACAAAACAUACCAUCUCUAAAAAUAAAAGCAUAUAUUUACCAAUGCUUUUUCUAUGCAAUAAUCUAGUCACCUUCUGUGUUUCAGUUUUUUUAUUUAAAAAAGAGAGAGGACUUGAAAAGGACAUGACCCUAUUGCAAUUAAGCACUUUUAAGACUACAGCUCUGUGCAUGUAUACUUGGUUCUAUUGAACACAGGGAGACAUACUCCUAAGUAAACUUGCAUACAAUUGUACAGCAAGCUCUGUUGUUGAACUUACAUUUUAAAUUUAUUUUCUUGAAGUUGACAAGGGGUUAAGUGUUUCUGUGUUGUGAUUCCCUACAGCAAAGGGUUCAGAAAGCUUAAUAGCAGCGCAAUUAGUCUUAACACUCAAGCAGACACCAGUAGGGUGUUGUAGAAAACUGAUUUUUUUUCUCCAGGAAAGGUAAACGAGAUCCUUUCUACAAUGCAAAAUGCAUUGUUGCCUUUUUGAUAAUAUGGAUUUAUAGUCCUAUUAUAUCCUGUGUGUGUGUGUUUGUGUACUGUGGAUAGUGCUAAUGCUAGACAAAAAUAAUCUGGCAAUCAUCCACUGUUGUAGCAAUGACUAAAAUUACUAAUUUUAAUAUUGAACACUUUUAUAUUGGACAAAUAGUUUUUGUUGUUUUUUACUCCGGCCUCACAGGCUAAGUCUUGCAAGCCUAUCCCAAGGUUACAAAAGUGUAUUUGACAGACAAAGCUAAGGUUGUGAUCCUGUACUCAGUUACCUGGCUGCAGGUAAGCCUCAUUGGACUCAAAGGGGCUUCCUUAUGGGUACACAGGUAUAGGGGUUGCCCUGCGAAUUUUUCUGAUCCAGUCUCAUGCCCACAGCAGCUAUAGGUUCUGGUGAAGUAAGUGGGAUGUUAUUCGGAACAUCGAUAGGAUUGGACCGCAAAGCUUUGUUUCAUUUACAUAAACACAGUAAUUUGGUUCUGGGGUUGAGGACAACAUUCUGCUUUUUGAAACCAAACUAGCCUAGUUUAAAGUAGUUAUCUCCCUAGUCAUCAUAGCACUGAAAUCCUGUGCAGGUCUACUCAAGAGUGGGUCCUCUGGGGCUUACUCCCAGGUAAGUGUGUACAGGAGCACGUUCAGUCCUGAAGCUACUAUUCAUUUCAGCAGGAUUUGCACAGAAAAGCCUCUGGGUGGGUUAUGCCCAAAUUACUAGCUCUUGGAGAAGAGUCCUUAUUUAGCAACAUGUUCCUGUUGUGAUAGUAUAACUUUUUUUGUUAUUUAUUUCCACACAUCUUGACUUUCUUCAAAGUUAUUUCUUAACUGCUGGACGCAAACUGGUAUCUGAAUUCUGUAAUGUUUGUACUUGAGAUGUUGUUUGGUUUGUAGUUUUUUUCUGAUUAAUAUUACUGGUAUUAUUUUGGUUAAAAAAAAAUACUUCAUGUCAUUUGAUAUUAAUGCCUUCUACUCUUUCUGAAGCCAGUGAAUACAAAUGUAAUAUAUCUUGCCUUAUGACAACAUUACAUAUCUUGUCUACCUAAAGCAUUAGCCAGUCACUGGUUGUACUAUUAUGGUGAAAAGUAGAAUUUAUAAAUGUGUCAUUACUAAUUGUCAUUAAACUUGAAUGGUGCAAAAUGG